rnacentral:rRNA from 1 species
AAAAACAUAGCCUAAAGUAAUUUAAGAAACAUUUUAGGUAUCCUYUGCCCGGUGACUAAAAGAUGUUUAACGGCCGCAGUACCCUGACUGUGCUAAGGUAGCAUAAUCAGUUGGCUUUUAAAUGGAGUCUAGAAUGAAGGGGGUUACGGGGACAAGCUGUAUCAUUUAUUACUAUUUUGAAAUUGGUUGUAAGGUGAAAAAACCUUAAGUUUUUAGAAAAAAGACGAGAAGACCCUUAGAAUCUUAAUUAAAGGAGGUGGAUUUUACAAGGUAUUUCUUUUAUUUUUGUUGGGGCGACAGAGAGAGCAAAAUAGUUAAGUAAAAUAAACCCUCUCAUAAACAAAUUGAAUUACUUGACGAGUAUAUUAAGCUUGAUUAGAUUACCUUAGGGAUAACAGCGUUAUUUUAAAAAUAAGAUUGCGACCUCGAUGUUGGACUAGGGACUUCGCGGCUAGCAGCCCUCAAAGAUGGUUCUGUUCGAACCUAACACCCUACGUGAUCUG